rnacentral:rRNA from 1 species
GAUGAACGCUGGCGGCGUGCCUAAUACAUGCAAGUCGAACGAAACUUCUUUAUCACCGAGUGCUUGCACUCACCGAUAAAGAGUUGAGUGGCGAACGGGUGAGUAACACGUGGGCAACCUGCCCAAAAGAGGGGGAUAACACUUGGAAACAGGUGCUAAUACCGCAUAACCAUAGUUACCGCAUGGUAACUAUGUAAAAGGUGGCUAUACUACCGCUUUUGGAUGGGCCCGCGGGGCAUUAGCUAGUUGGUAGGGUAAAGGCUUACCAAGGCAAUGAUGCGUAGCCGAAUUGAGAGGUUGAUCGGCCACAUUGGGACUGAGACACGGCCCAAACUCCUACGGGAGGCAGCAGUAGGGAAUCUUCCACAAUGGGCGAAAGCCUGAUGGAGCAACGCCGCGUGGGUGAAGAAGGUCUUCGGAUCGUAAAACCCUGUUGUUAGAGAAGAAAGUGCGUGAGAGUAACUGUUCACGUUUCGACGGUAUCUAACCAGAAAGCCACGGCUAACUACGUG